GGGCACACUCUUUGUGCAGCACAGGACGUUUAUGUUCAGGAACUGGCUGGCUUCGAGCAGCUCGUUUAGGAUCUGAUCGCUUUCCUCAAUGGGCCAAUGCGUAGAGGCGUACUUCACAAUGGCCGUGGCGCUGCAAGAGGUCAACUUUUCUUAAUCUGUGUAUACUAAAAGACUGUUGAAAUGGGAAGCAGUUUGAACUCUGAGAUCGCCCCGUUUAUACAGACGGAUGGGAAGUUCGUUUCGUAUCCAAUAUUAAGAGUGAGACUUACACCAAAACACUGUCCGGAUAUUGUUUUAGAUAUGCCAUUAGGGAUUUAAGUAUGCUCUCAUCCUCUAAUCUAGCCUCGAUAUUGUUUAAUAAAGUCGCUAUACGUUGGGCUGUUAGAAUGGUGCCUUGACUAAGUAAGUCGCCGGGCUUGAUGCUCAUCUCGUCCAAUUGCUUCCAACUAAUGAGUUUCUCACAAGUAAACCAAUCGACAGCUCGGUGCUGCACAAAACUGA